UACGUAGGGACCAAGCGUUGUUCGGAUUUACUGGGCGUAAAGGGCGCGUAGGCGGCGUGGUAAGUCACUUGUGAAAUCUCUGAGCUUAACUCAGAACGGCCAAGUGAUACUGCUGUGCUAGAGUGCAGAAGGGGCAAUCGGAAUUCUUGGUGUAGCGGUGAAAUGCGUAGAUAUCAGGAGGAACACCUGAGGUGAAGACGGGUUGCUGGGCUGACACUGACGCUGAGGCGCGAAAGCCAGGGGAGCAAACGGG
rnacentral:rRNA from 1 species